GAUGAACGCUAGCUACAGGCUUAACACAUGCAAGUCGAGGGGCAGCAUGGACAUAGCUUGCUAUGUUUGAUGGCGACCGGCGCACGGGUGCGUAACACGUAUCCAAUCUGCCCGUUACUCGGGGAUAGCCUUCUGAAAGGAAGAUUAAUACCCGAUGGCAUGUAUUUCCGGCAUCGGAGAUACAUUAAAGAUUUAUCGGUAACGGAUGAGGAUGCGUACGAUUAGCUUGUUGGCGGGGUAACGGCCCACCAAGGCGACGAUCGUUAGGGGUUCUGAGAGGAAGGUCCCCCANACUGGAACUGAGACACGGUCCAGACUCCUACGGGAGGCAGCAGUGAGGAAUAUUGGUCAAUGGGGCGAGAGCCUGAACCAGCCAAGUCGCAUGAGGGAAGACGGUACUAAGUAUUGUAAACCUCUUUUUGUCAGGGAACAAAGCCUGCAUGUAUGCAAUAAUGAGUGUACCUGAAG
rnacentral:rRNA from 1 species